rnacentral:lncRNA from 1 species
GCCAGAGAGCACACCACGGGGUGCAGGGGCCGUGUCUCAGAGGACCUUUGGUGCAUGUGGUAUCUAUUACUCCCGGACUGUGGGCUGCGGUCCAUGGAAAACCGUCCACCACCAGCCAAUUCUGGGGUGGUUCUGCCUGUUCCAUCACCAAAGCCUCACUCGGCACUUCCACCAGAAGAUCUGAGGACUGGCCACCGCCCUUGGCUGAAGCUAGGUCGGAGUGAGCUUCGCAGUUUGGCCAUGAUAUUGGCAACCGGUGGGCAAGCGAGUUUGGGAGCAGAUGCAGUGCCUCAUAUCCGUAAUUAACUGGAUUGCACUGCUCCCCUUCUGCAGUCUGGACUUCUAUUCUGGAGCACUUGAUCUGCAUAACGCUGGUAAACCCUUAUGCUGAAUAACAACAUCAUUGCUUGCAUAAAUAUCUCAGCUUAAAAUAUCUCUUGCCUAUAACCCGCUCCCCAGUCGUACACUGCAUGACGAGCUUUGCAGCAAACGGACAUUCCUCCUGCUCAUCGAGGAGAAGGGCGAGGUGUGCACUGCCAUCCAAUGCGCUGAUGAAUUGGAACAGGCGUGGGAUGAAGUGCAGCGUCUUCCCCUUCCUCUGGCUACGCACUUCUUGUUCAGUGCGGCACGUGAGGGUUUGAGUGCUGACAACAGCCAUUUUAAAAAUGAUACAAGGCUCUAGUCCUCAGGGAAGAGAAGGCAGGGCCUCCCACCAUGAACAGUAGAAAAAGAUGUCCAAGUGUGUUCGAUUUGCAUAAUGCACAUACAGCCGAACACACACCCCUGACAGCUAUGCGCUUCUUUUAGGAAGCCCUGGGGUGGGCCUAGGCUGCUCCUCCCCUAUGAAAAUUAAGCUGCCUCCUGUCCUUUGUCCAUCCAGCUGCAAAAAUGUGACUUGCAAAACAGCAACUGGAUGCAAGCCAACACAGCAGGAGAUGAGCGAAGACAAGUUUUUCCUUCCCUACCCAAGAUUCAAAACGGAGGUUUCUGUGCCAACUUCCAUUUUAUUCAUUGUCCCUCCAGCCCAAACUCUCUUCCGAGGAUUAUCACCACAAUAGACCCGCACCUCCCACCACAAGAGAGCGGGGCAAC